rnacentral:ncRNA from 2 species
AACGAAUGCUUUCUCCGAGUCCGCCGGCCUAAAACAUGGCGUUAUGGCUGCUGGACCGACAGGGUGUAUCGGGAAACCGGCAUGCCUCCCAUUGCGGUAAGGAGAUAAUUGACAGGCUUU